rnacentral:rRNA from 1 species
AUUGAACGCUGGCGGCAUGCCUUACACAUGCAAGUCGAACGGCAGCACGGGAGCAAUCCUGGUGGCGAGUGGCGAACGGGUGAGUAAUAUAUCGGAACGUGCCCAGUCGUGGGGGGAUAACGUAGCGAAAGCUACGCUAAUACCGCAUACGAUCUAUGGAUGAAAGCGGGGGGAUCGCAAGACCUCGCGCGAUUGGAGCGGCCGAUAUCAGAUUAGGUAGUUGGUGGGGUAAAAGCCUACCAAGCCUUCGAUCUGUAGCUGGUCUGAGAGGACGACCAGCCACACUGGAACUGAGACACGGUCCAGACUCCUACGGGAGGCAGCAGUGGGGAAUUUUGGACAAUGGGCGCAAGCCUGAUCCAGCAAUGCCGCGUGCAGGAUGAAGGCC